GGAGCAAGUGGGGAGCCGUGUGCACUCUGCAGGAAGCGAGAGAGACGAGAGCUGAACAGUGUCGAGUGAACGCAGAGUUCCUAGAAGGGCGACAGACAUAUUUUCGGAUUGACGGAUAGUUAACUGGAGUGAAAAGCUGUUGUACCCUACUGUGAGUAGGAGGAGACGGACGUCUUGCUGGCGUGUCAGAGAGGUCCCUUCUACUGGUGUGCUGAAGUUAUGUGUUCACGUGGAGAGGACGACUGAGUGCUGCUGCCGCGGCCUGCUGGUAGCCUUGACCCACUUUCCCCUGCUAUCCCCUUGAACUGCCUGGAGGUAAACCACAGAGCCGGUUGCCAUGGGGAUGCUGCAGGGAGCUCCUCAUCCUCCCACCAAUGGGCUUCAGCGAUCUGUUACCGCGGGAAACCUGGCUU
ensembl:lncRNA